rnacentral:misc_RNA from 1 species
UACGUAGGGGGCAAGCGUUAUCCGGAUUUACUGGGUGUAAAGGGAGCAUAGGUGGUUUGGUAAGUGAGAUGUGAAAGCCCGGGGCUCAACCCCGGGACUGCAUUUCAAACUGCUAGACUAGAGUGCAGGAGAGGUAAGUGGAAUUCCUAGUGUAGCGGUGAAAUGCGUAGAUAUUAGGAGGAACACCAGUGGCGAAGGCGGCUUACUGGACUGUAACUGACACUGAGGCUCGAAAGCGUGGGGAGCAAACAGG